GCUGCAUCCCUUCCUGCUGCCCAGCUGCUCUAAUGCCGCGCCCACCCGGCCUGCCACUCUCUUGCCGCCGUGGGUGGGAGGCGAGUGAGCACCCACGACAUCUGCCCACCGAAGGGAGAGAGAGAGUGAUGGAACUAGAAGCAGAUGCCAUGGGACAUGAGCUACUUUUUGUAGAUGAGGCCGGUUUUAACCUCAGUAAAACCAGGAGACGUGGCAGGAACAUUAUUGGACACCGUGCCAUCAUCAAUGUCCCAGGACAAUGUGGUGGUAACAUAACCAUGUGUGCAGCUAUAAGCCAAAAAUGGUGUUGUUCACCAUCAUGCAACCAUAGGCCCAUACAACACUGCACACAUUAUUGCAUUCCUGGACACCUUACAUGACAUGCUCACUGUUCAGAGACCAGAGCAUACCCGAUAUGUCAUCAUAUGGGACAAUGUUAGUUUCCAUAGGGCUGCUUUGGUCCGCAACUGGUUUACAGACCACCCAUCCUUCAUGGCACUCAACCUCCCUCCAUACUCUCCAUUCUUAUCCCAUCGAGGAGUUCUUCUCUGCCUGGCGCUGGAAAGUGUACGACUGUCAUCCUCAUCAACAGGUAGCCCUUUUACAGGCAAUGGAGGAGGCAUGUGGAGACAUUGACCAGGCAUCAUGUCAGGCCUGGAUAUGGCAUUCAAGGAGAUAUUUUCCCCGGUGCCUUGGACUGGAGGAUAUCGCAUGCGAUGUGGACGAAAUUUUGUGGCCGGACCCAGA